rnacentral:tRNA from 1 species
AUCUAUAUAGUAUAAGAGUAUAUUU